UCGACCUGCAGGCGGCCGCGAAUUCACUAGUGAUUAGAGUUUGAUCAUGGCUCAGGAUGAACGCUGGCGGCGUGCCUAACACAUGCAAGUCGUACGAUUCUGCCCCGAUUGAGACUUCGGUCGAUUUUGGGAACGGAAUAGUGGCGGACUGGUGAGUAACACAUGGGUAACCUACCCUAGAGAUCGGGAUAGCAGCUGGAAACGGCUGGUAAUACCGGAUACGUUACUCGGGCCUCAUGGCCUGGGUAAGAAAGAUGGCCUAUCCUUGGAAGCUAUCGCUCUUGGAGGGGCCCGUGGCUCAUCAGCUAGUUGGUAGGGUAACGGCCUACCAAGGCUACGAUGGGUAGCUGGUUUGAGAGGAUGAUCAGCCACACUGGGACUGAGAUACGGCCCAGACUCCUACGGGAGGCAGCAGUGAGGAAUUUUUCGCAAUGGACGCAAGUCUGACGAAGCGACGCCGCGUGGGUGAAGGAGGUUUUCGGAUCGUAAAGCCCUGUCAGGGGGAAAGAACCCUUACCA
rnacentral:rRNA from 1 species